rnacentral:rRNA from 1 species
UUCUUCGAUCGAGUGGCGAACGGGUGAGUAACGCGUGAGGAACCUGCCUCAAAGAGGGGGACAACAGUUGGAAACGACUGCUAAUACCGCAUAAGCCCACGGGUCGGCAUCGACCUGAGGGAAAAGGAGCAAUCCGCUUUGAGAUGGCCUCGCGUCCGAUUAGCUAGUUGGUGAGGUAACGGCCCACCAAGGCGACGAUCGGUAGCCGGACUGAGAGGUUGAACGGCCACAUUGGGACUGAGACACGGCCCAGACUCCUACGGGAGGCAGCAGUGGGGAAUAUUGCACAAUGGGGGAAACCCUGAUGCAGCGACGCCGCGUGGAGGAAGAAGGUCUUCGGAUUGUAAACUCCUGUUGUUGAGGAAGAUAAUGACGGUACUCAACAAGGAAGUGACGGCUAACUACGUGCCAGCAGCCGCGGUAAAACGUAGGUCACAAGCGUUGUCCGGAAUUACUGGGUGUAAAGGGAGCGCAGGCGGGAAGACAAGUUGGAAGUGAAAUCUAUGGGCUUAACCCAUAAACUGCUUUCAAAACUGUUUUUCUUGAGUAGUGCAGAGGUAGGCGGAAUUCCCGGUGUAGCGGUGGAAUGCGUAGAUAUCGGGAGGAAC